rnacentral:rRNA from 1 species
GAUGAACGCUGGCGGCGUGCCUAAUACAUGCAAGUCGAGCGAACAGACGAGGAGCUUGCUCCUCUGACGUUAGCGGCGGACGGGUGAGUAACACGUGGAUAACCUACCUAUAAGACUGGGAUAACUUCUGGAAACCGGAGCUAAUACCGGAUAAUAUAUUGAACCGCAUGGUUCAAUAGUGAAAGACGGUUUUGCUGUCACUUAUAGAUGGAUCCGCGCCGCAUUAGCUAGUUGGUAAGGUAACGGCUUACCAAGGCAACGAUGCGUAGCCGACCUGAGAGGGUGAACGGCCACACUGGAACUGAGACACGGUACAGACUCCUACGGGAGGAAGCAGUAGGGAAUCUUCCGCAAAGGGCGAAAGCCUGACGGAGCAACGCCGCGUGAGUGAUGAAGGUCUUCGGAUCGUAAAACUCUGUUAUUAGGGAAGAACAAAUGUGUAAGUAACUAUGCACGUCUUGACGGUACCUAAUCAGAAAGCCACGGCUAACUACGUG